AUGGGAGGGACACUCAGAGACGGUUACAGGACCAGUACCAGCACUUGUCAUCACCAAUCAGCUCCAUGGCGUUUUGGCUGCAAAGUACAAGAACAGCAUUUUGAAGGUCACAUACCACCCAGCGGAACUAGGGCUAUCAGCAUACUCAGACAUGUCAAUGGAAGGAAACAAACCAGGAUGCUAACAGAGUCUGGCUGCAUGAAGAAAGGACACAGUGGCUUUUCAAGUUACCCUCUUAUGAAUGCUCAGCCCUCACACAUUUCUACGUGGCAGGACCAAGCUGUUCCUCAGAUCUUUGUUUCAUAA
rnacentral:lncRNA from 1 species